rnacentral:lncRNA from 1 species
CGGCGGCCGAGCUGGGCGUCUGAGCUGCCCGUCCUGGGUCGGCAUGGUGCUAGGCUGUGGCUGCACAGGCUCCUCCCCCUGUGCCAAAAAUACCACGUCCCUGUGGCCACAUGAGACUCGUGCCAGCCAUCAGGGUCCAGGCCACAAAUAGAUGGCAUUUGAGGGCCCUCCAGCUACAGUACAUGAGGACGACUUCCUGGCACGGGGCCGGGCUGAGGUGGGGUCAGACACGGGCCGGAGGACGCUGACCAGCAGGCAGCACCGCUCAGUUCCCGUGCCUCCGCCACCCGCGGUGAAACCUCAGACCUGCCCUCCCUGCCGCCCCUGGAAUGUUCCUGGCCUGCUUCUGAGAUGGCCUCUGUGUCCCGGCCAGGGCUUGUGCCUCCCGGUCCUGACCUCUGGGGCUCAUGUGAGGGCAGGUUCCGAGCCAGAGGGGACAAGAGGACAGGGCGAGGGAUCCAACAAUAAACAUCCGAUCAAACAGGCAGUUCUGGAGGCUGGGAAAUGCAGAUGAAGGUGCUGGCGUCUGAUGAGCUCCUUCCUUCUGUGUCAUCCCUGGACAAAGAAGACAGAGUGGGAGAGCAGGAGGGGCUGGACCCCCCUUCCAUGAGGAACCCACUCCCACGAUACCAGCGUUCAUCUCUUCGUGAGGGCAGAGCCUCCAUAAGCUAAACACCUCUUAAAGGUCCCACCUCCCAACACUUCCACAUGGGGGUCAAGCUCCCGGCACAUGAGCUUUUGGGGCCAUAUCCAAACCACAGCAGUAUCCUACCUAAGAAGACUUUUGCCCAAGGUCUUUCCAAACCCAAGAUCAUGACAAUUUACUGCUAUAUUUUCUUCUAAAAGUUUUAUAGUUUUAGCUCUUAUGUCUGUCAUCC